rnacentral:misc_RNA from 1 species
AAUUCAACAGAACUACUCAUGCAACUGCAAACAGAACUACUCGUGCAGAUAACUACUGGUGAUGAUUUGGGUGGGACUCUAUGGUCCAUAAUGUAUUAUCCCCAGAGGUUCAGCUCAGUGCUUACAUCCUCUUGUUCUAUAAUCUAAAGGUUCGGCUGGUGUACAUCCUCAUAGCGAGGUUCCACGCCUACAUCCUUUCUGAAUGCGAAUCUGAUCGUUGGAUCUCCGACUGCUCGAAUGGCUCUUACUGGCUUUGCAGCACUUACUGGCUCUUGGAUGAUCAUCUGGCGCAGUGGCUCUAAUCACAUCUUCUUGUUGCUCUUAUUGGCUCUGGCUCGAUGGCUCUGGCUCUCAUUCGCAAGAAACACUUAGCUCUUAUUGGCUCAUUGGCACUCACUGGCUUAUCGUCAUGGCUCUGGCUCUUACUGAUUGGCUCUGGCCCAUGCUAUCAAGGUGCUGGCAUUCUGCUCUCACAGUUCACAGUUCCACCUUCGCGCUGUCGUCAUCGUUUCACAGUGUCACUCUUGUGCUGGCAUAACUUAACGUGUCUCAGUCGCUACAACGUCUCCUGCUCUGGUGGCUGGUGGAAUUUCACCAUCGUGCAGCUCCAGGCGGCUUUUCAGCGUUGUCUUAGUGUUCUGUUGUCNGU